GAUGAACGCUGGCGGCGUGCCUAAUACAUGCAAGUCGAGCGAACAGAUGAGGAACUUUCUCCUCUGACGUUAGCGGCGGACGGGUGAGUAACACGUGGAUAACCUACUUAUAACACUGGGAUGAUUUCGGGAAACCGGUGCUAGUACCGGAUAAUAUAUUGAACCGCUUGGUUCAGUAGUGAUAGACGGAUUUUCUGUCACUUAUAGAUGGAUCCGCGCCGGAUUAGCUAGUUGGUAAGGUAACGGCUUACCAAGGCAGCGAUGCGUAGCCGGCGUGAGAGGGUGAUCGGCGACACUGGAUCGGAGACACGGUCCAGAAUACUACGGGAGGCUGCAGCAGGGAAUAAUACGGAAGGGGGGAAGGCAGGACGGAGCAACGCCGAGUGAGUGAUGAAGGUCGUCGGAUCGUAAAAAUCUGUUAUUGGGAAAGAAGAAAUCUGUAAGUAAAUAUGCACGUUUUGACGGUACCUAAUGAAGAAGCCACGGCUAACUACGUG
rnacentral:rRNA from 1 species